rnacentral:rRNA from 1 species
AGUGAACGCUGGCGGUAGGCCUAACACAUGCAAGUCGAACGGCAGCACAGAGGAGCUUGCUCCUUGGGUGGCGAGUGGCGGACGGGUGAGGAAUACAUCGGAAUCUACUUUUUCGUGGGGGAUAACGUAGGGAAACUUACGCUAAUACCGCAUACGACCUACGGGUGAAAGCAGGGGAUCUUCGGACCUUGCGCGAUUGAAUGAGCCGAUGUCGGAUUAGCUAGUUGGCGGGGUAAAGGCCCACCAAGGCGACGAUCCGUAGCUGGUCUGAGAGGAUGAUCAGCCACACUGGAACUGAGACACGGUCCAGACUCCUACGGGAGGCAGCAGUGGGGAAUAUUGGACAAUGGGCGCAAGCCUGAUCCAGCCAUACCGCGUGGGUGAAGAAGGCCUUCGGGUUGUAAAGCCCUUUUGUUGGGAAAGAAAUCCAGCCGGCUAGUACCUGGUUGGGAUGACGGUACCCAAAGAAUAAGCACCGGCUAACUUCGUGCCAGCAGCCGCCGUAA